AAUUCAUGCAUUGGAAAUUUAUGCAGCAAAUCUUUGAAUCUCUCCCAUGCCUCAAACAAAUUCUCAUCUUAUAAUUGAUUAAAAGAUGUCAAGUCAUUUCGCAACU